GAUGAACGCUGGCGGCGUGCCUAAUACAUGCAAGUCGAGCGAACGGACGAGAAGCUUGCUUCUCUGAUGUUAGCGGCGGACGGGUGAGUAACACGUGGAUAACCUACCUAUAAGACUGGGAUAACUUCGGGAAACCGGAGCUAAUACCGGAUAAUAUUUUGAACCGCAUGGUUCAAUAGUAAAAGACGGUCUUGCUGUCACUUAUAGAUGGAUCCGCGCUGCAUUAGCUAGUUGGUAAGGUAACGGCUUACCAAGGCAACGAUGCAUAGCCGACCUGAGAGGGGGAUCGGCGACACUGGAACGGAGACACGGACCAGAGUCCUACGGGAGGAAGCAGGAGGGAAUCUUCCGCAAAGGGCGAAAGCCUGACGGAGCAACGCCGCGUGAGGGAUGAAGGUCUUCGGAUCGUAAAACUCUGUUAUUAGGGAAGAAAAUAUGUGUAAGUAACUGUGCACAGCUUGACGGUAACUAAUCAGAAAGCAACGGCUAACUACGUG
rnacentral:rRNA from 1 species